CUAUGGUUAAGGAACUCGGCAAAAUGCCCCCGUAACUUCGGGAGAAGGGGGGCCGGAAUACCGUGAACACCCUUGCGGUGGGAGCGGGAUCCGGCCGCAGAAACCAGUGGGUAGCGACUGUUUACUAAAAACACAGGUCCGUGCGAAGUCGCAAGACGAUGUAUACGGACUGACGCCUGCCCGGUGCUGGAAGGUUAAGAGGACCCGUUAACCGUAAGGUGAAGCGGAGAAUUUAAGCCCCAGUAAACGGCGGUGGUAACUAUAACCAUCCUAAGGUAGCGAAAUUCCUUGUCGGGUAAGUUCCGACCUGCACGAAUGGCGUAACGACUUCCCAACUGUCUCAACCAUAGACUCGGCGAAAUUGCACUACGAGUAAAGAUGCUCGUUACGCGCGGCAGGACGAAAAGACCCCGGGACCUUCACUACAACUUGGUAUUGGUGUUCGGUACGGUUUGUGUAGGAUAGGUGGGAGACUGUGAAAUACAGACGCCAGUUUGUAUGGAGUCGUUGUUGAAAUACCACUCUGAUCGUAUUGGACACCUAACGUCGAACCCUUACCGGGUUCACGGACAGUGCCUGGCGGGUAGUUUAACUGGGGCGGUUGCCUCCUAAAAUGUAACGGAGGCGCCCAAAGGUUCCCUCAACCUGGACGGCAAUCAGGUGACGAGUGUAAGUGCACAAGGGAGCUUGACUGCGAGACUUACAAGUCAAGCAGGGACGAAAGUCGGGACUAGUGAUCCGGCACCCCCGAGUGGAAGGGGUGUCGCUCAACGGAUAAAAGGUACCCCGGGGAUAACAGGCUGAUCUUCCCCAAGAGUCCAUAUCGACGGGAUGGUUUGGCACCUCGAUGUCGGCUCGUCGCAUCCUGGGGCUGGAGCAGGUCCCAAGGGUUGGGCUGUUCGCCCAUUAAAGCGGCACGCGAGCUGGGUUUAGAACGUCGUGAGACAGUUCGGUCUCUAUCCGCCGCGCGCGUCAGAAACUUGAGGAAACCUGUCCCUAGUAC
rnacentral:rRNA from 1 species